rnacentral:rRNA from 1 species
UGGGGAAUAUUGGACAAUGGGGGGAACCCUGAUCCAGCCAUGCCGCGUGUGUGAGGAAGGCCUUAUGGUUGUAAAGCACUUUAAGCGAGGAGGAGGGUACUGGUAUUAAUACUACCAGCUACUGGACGUUACUCGCAGAAUAAGCACCGGCUAACUCUGUGCCAGCAGCCGCGGUAAUACAGAGGGUGCGAGCGUUAAUCGGAUUUACUGGGCGUAAAGCGUGCGUAGGCGGCUAAUUGAGUCGGAUGUGAAAUCCCCGAGCUUAACUUGGGAAUUGCAUUCGAUACUGGUUAGCUAGAGUGUGGGAGAGGAUGGUAGAAUUCCAGGUGUAGCGGUGAAAUGCGUAGAGAUCUGGAGGAAUACCGAUGGCGAAGGCAGCCAUCUGGCCUAACACUGACGCUGAGGUACGAAAGCAUGGGGAGCAAACAGG